UACAGGGGGGGCAAGCGUUGUUCGGAAUUACUGGGCGUAAAGGGCUCGUAGGCGGCCGACUAAGUCCGACGUGAAAUCCCAAAGCUUAACUUUGGAACUGCGUCGGAUACUGGAUGGCUUGAAUUCGGGAGAGGGAUGCAGAAUUCCAGGUGUAGCGGUGAAAUGCGUAGAUAUCUGGAGGAAUACCGGUGGCGAAGGCGGCAUCCUGGACCGGCAUUGACGCUGAGGAGCGAAAGCCAGGGGAGCAAACGGG
rnacentral:rRNA from 1 species